GACGAACGCUGGCGGCGCGCCUAACACAUGCAAGUCGAACGAGCGAGAGAGAGCUUGCUUUCUCGAGCGAGUGGCGAACGGGUGAGUAACGCGUGAGGAACCUGCCUCAAAGAGGGGGACAACAGUUGGAAACGACUGCUAAUACCGCAUAAGCCCACGACCCGGCAUCGGGUAGAGGGAAAAGGAGCAAUCCGCUUUGAGAUGGCCUCGCGUCCGAUUAGCUAGUUGGUGAGGUAACGGCCCACCAAGGCGACGAUCGGUAGCCGGACUGAGAGGUUGAACGGCCACAUUGGGACUGAGACACGGCGCAGACUCCUACGGGAGGCAGCAGUGGGGAAUAUUGCACAAUGGGGGAAACCCUGAUGCAGCGACGCCGCGUGGAGGAAGAAGGUCUUCGGAUUGUAAACUCCUGUUGUUGAGGAAGAUAAUGACGGUACUCAACAAGGAAGUGACGGCUAACUACGUG
rnacentral:rRNA from 1 species